rnacentral:lncRNA from 1 species
CCUGGCAAAUACUUUAUAAUUUCUGAAGCCAACAUAUAAACAAAUACAAUAAAGGUUACCUAAAUAAGUGCUUCUUUUUAGAAAUAGCUUGGAGAAAAUCAUUCAAUACCUCUUAUUUAUAGUUUUGUAAUGUUCUUUUUAAAUGCUUCUUACAAUAUCUUGAAAGUUAAGAUCUUUCAAGGAAAGAUUUUGAAAAGUGUCCUGGCCUGAAGUCUUCAUGUUUUAGAAAUCAAGUUUUUAAAACAUCUUAAAAAGCUGUGUCUUUAGUACUGGGUGCAAAAUUUAAACAUUGCCUGCAAUUCCGGAAUAACAAUAAUCCUAACGAUAGAUAUGAUUGAAAAAGUUGGCCAGGUUCAAAAGAGAAACUUCUUCGGGGGAAAAUGGCCAUCCCAUCGUUCUACAUCAACCGCCGGUUUUUCUUUAGGGUGAAGUGAGAGGCUUGAGGGCAGGGAAGCAUCCAAAGGGAAUUUCUCAGUUGGUAAUUUCCUAGCAGAGAGGUUGAGUUAGGUGCUUCUUCCUCGAUAUGGUUCGGAUCUGUGACCCAGUCCAAAUCUCAUGUUGAGUUGUAACCCCCAGGGUUGGAGGUGGGUGGGGUCUGGUGAGCGGUGAUUGGAUCGUGGGGACCGUUUCCCAUGGUCUAGCACCACCCUGCCUUGUUACUGACAUCCGGUUGUUUGAAGAUGCACGGCCCCCACACCCCCUUUCCUCUGCUUGCUACGGGUCUGGCCAUGUGAAGUGCCUGCUCCCGCUUCACCUUCCAUUACUUUCCUGAGGCCUUCCCAGCCAUGCUUCCUGGGCAGCCUGCAGAACUCCAGCACUUGAAGUUUCAAAAACGAGGAUCAAGCCGUUCCUGGGAGCAUCCUAUGAGACAUUUGGACACAGGUUUACUUGGAGUCUCGGAGAUAUGACGGAAUCUGGAAAAGUCAAAGGAAAAAAAGCCAAGGUUAAUGGAAUUCAAGAACAUAAAUUCAAGCAGGGACGAUAUAGUGAAAACACUACUAUCUCCAUAAGUCAGUC